CACGUAGGGCGCGAGCGUUGUCCGGAAUUAUUGGGCGUAAAGAGCUCGUAGGCGGCCUGUUGCGUCCGCUGUGAAAUCCCGGGGCUUAACCCCGGGCCUGCAGUGGAUACGGGCAGGCUGGAGGCAGGCAGGGGAGAACGGAAUUCCCGGUGUAGCGGUGAAAUGCGCAGAUAUCAGGAAGAACACCAACGGCGAAGGCAGCUCGCUGGGACGGAACUGACGCGUGAGGCGACGAAAGGCGUGGGGAGCGAACAGG
rnacentral:rRNA from 1 species